CUUUGGGUGACGAGCGGCGGACGGUUGAGUAAUGUCUGGCAAACUGCCUGAUGCAGGGGGAUAACUACUGGAAACGGUAGCUAAUACCGCAUAACGUCGCAUGACCAAAGUGGGGGACCUUCGGGCCUCAUGCCAUCAGAUGUGCCCAGAUGGGAUUAGCUAGUAGGUGAGGUAAUGUCUCACCUAGGCGACGAUCCCUAGCUGGUCUGAGAGGAUGACCAGCCACACUGGAACUGAGACACGGUCCAGACUCCUACGGGAGGCAGCAGUGGGGAAUAUUGCACAAUGUGCGCAAGCAUGAUGCAGCCAUGCAGCGUGUAUGAAGAACGCCUUGGGGUUG
rnacentral:rRNA from 2 species